rnacentral:rRNA from 1 species
AACGAACGCUGGCGGCAUGCCUAACACAUGCAAGUCGAACGAGACCUUCGGGUCUAGUGGCGCACGGGUGCGUAACGCGUGGGGACCUGCCCUUAGGUUCGGAAUAACUCCCCGAAAGGGGUGCUAAUACCGGAUAAUGUCUUCGGACCAAAGAUUUAUCGCCUUUGGAUGGGCCCGCGUUGGAUUAGCUAGUUGGUAGGGUAAAAGCCUACCAAGGCGACGAUCCAUAGCUGGUCUGAGAGGAUGAUCAGCCACACUGGGACUGAGACACGGCCCAGACUCCUACGGGAGGCAGCAGUGGGGAAUAUUGGACAAUGGGCGAAAGCCUGAUCCAGCAAUGCCGCGUGAGUGAUGAAGGCCUUAGGGUUGUAAAGCUCUUUUACCCGGGAUGAUAAUGACAGUACCGGGAGAAUAAGCUCCGGCUAACUCCGCG